AUUGAACGCUGGCGGCAGGCCUAACACAUGCAAGUCGAGCGAGUGGCGGACGGGUGAGUAAUGUCUGGGAAACUGCCUGAUGGAGGGGGAUAACUACUGGAAACGGUAGCUAAUACCGCAUACCAUCAGAUGUGCCCAGAUGGGAUUAGCUUGUAGGUGGGGUAACGGCUCACCAAGGCGACGAUCCCUAGCUGGUCUGAGAGGAUGACCAGACACACUGGAACUGAGACACGGUCCAGACUCCUACGGGAGGCAGCAGUGGGGAAUAUUGCACAAUGGGCGCAAGCCUGAUGCAGCCAGGCCGCGUGUGUGAAGAAGGCCUUCGGGUUGUAAAGCACUUUCAGCGGGGAGGCGUUACCCGCAGAAGAAGCACCGGCUAACUCCGUGCCAGCAGCCGCGGUAAUAC
rnacentral:rRNA from 1 species